UACGAAGGGGGCUAGCGUUGCUCGGAAUCACUGGGCGUAAAGGGCGCGUAGGCGGCCGGCCAAGUCGGGGGUGAAAGCCUGUGGCUCAACCACAGAAUGGCCCUCGAUACUGGCUGGCUCGAGACCGGAAGAGGUUGGUGGAAUUGCGAGUGUGGAGGUGAAAUUCGUAGAUAUUCGCAAGAACACCGGUGGCGAAGGCGGCCAACUGGUCCGGAUCUGACGCUGAGGCGCGAAAGCGUGGGGAGCAAACAGG
rnacentral:rRNA from 1 species